GAUGAACGCUGGCGGCGUGCCUAAUACAUGCAAGUCGAGCGAACAGAUGAGGAGCUUGCUCCUCUGACGUUAGCGGCGGACGGGUGAGUAACACGUGGAUAACCUACCUAUAAGACUGGGAUAACUUCGGGAAACCGGAGCUAAUACCGGAUAAUAUAUUGAACCGCAUGGUUCAAUAGUGAAAGACGGUUUUGCUGUCACUUAUAGAUGGAUCCGCGCCGCAUUAGCUAGUUGGUAAGGUAACGGCUUACCAAGGCAACGAUGCGUAGCCGACCUGAGAGGGUGAUCGGCCACACUGGAACUGAGACACGGUCCAGACUCCUACGGGAGGCAGCAGUAGGGAAUCUUCCGCAAAGGGCGGAAGCCUGACGGAGCAACGCCGCGUGAGUGAUGAAGGUCUUCGGAUCGUAAAACUCUGUUAUUAGGGAAGAACAAAUGUGUAAGUAACUAUGCACGUCUUGACGGUACCUAAUCAGAAAGCCACGGCUAACUACGUG
rnacentral:rRNA from 1 species